GUUCUUAUAGUUGAAUUUACAACGGUGGUUUUUCAGGCCAUAGGUCUUGGAGAGAGUCCAAGUAGGAAUU
rnacentral:tRNA from 1 species